UGCCUAAUAAUUGUAACUCUUAAUUGUGCCAAUAAUAGUAGACAUAUUUGUUUUGGCUUCAGGGAAUUGAAGGAGCCUGACAUUUUCAAGAAUCUGUAUGUAUAUUCUGCAAUGCGACAUUAAGAUAUAAAACCUGUUUUGGAAAGGCUGCAGUAUAGAGGAAAACACUAUAUAAUCCUGGAGCUUGUUGGACUCAAUCCAAAGAAUUUUGGGUGCAAUGACCGAAUGUAAAACUUGUUGAUUGUGGGAAAGAAUCAACUUAUUGCUGAUCCAGCACAGACAUCUUAGUUGGUUUUAUUAACUAAUGUCAAGCAUGACAAUAUUCUAUUUUCAAAUCAGAUUCUUGGACUUCUCUGGCUUCAGCCACUGGAAACUCUGAUUCUAAUAUUUGUGAAAAUAAAAUUCUGGUCAUAUGGCCAAAAGUGAACAGUACAUAGCCAAAGUGAAACAUUAUUUUGUAGUCACUUUUAGUUUGUCUAUUAUACUGUGUUUCUUUAUUGCCCUAGAGAAAAUUAAAUUGGUCAAUUCAGUGGAGAAAAAUCAUCAACACGAAGGUUUGAAAUGACCAGUUGUUUAACUAGAAAAAUGGAAAAGUCUCAAUUUGUAGACACAGUCUAAAUGUGGAAAAAUCAUUAAACACUAAAACUCGAGGCAAACUUUACAAGUUCUGUUUCUAAAUUAAAAUCACAAUUAAUAUUAUAAGUCAU
rnacentral:lncRNA from 1 species